GUCUACAGCCCUACUACCCUGAACAAGCCCAAUCCCGUCUGAUCUCGGAAGCUAAGCAGGGUCAGGCCUGGUUAGUACUCAGAUGGGAGACCACCCAGGAAGACCAGAUGCUAUAGGCG
rnacentral:rRNA from 1 species